rnacentral:rRNA from 1 species
AUACGUAGGGUGCGAGCGUUGUCCGGAAUUACUGGGCGUAAAGAGCUCGUAGGUGGUUUGUCGCGUCGUCUGUGAAAUUCCGGGGCUUAACUCCGGGCGUGCAGGCGAUACGGGCAUAACUUGAGUACUGUAGGGGAGACUGGAAUUCCUGGUGUAGCGGUGAAAUGCGCAGAUAUCAGGAGGAACACCGGUGGCGAAGGCGGGUCUCUGGGCAGUAACUGACGCUGAGGAGCGAAAGCAUGGGUAGCGAACAGGAUUAGAUACCCUGGUAGUCCAUGCCGUAAACGGUGGGCGCUAGGUGUAGGGGUCUUCCACGACUUCUGUGCCGUAGCUAACGCAUUAAGCGCCCCGCCUGGGGAGUACGGCCGCAAGGCUAAAACUCAAAGGAAUUGACAGGG